rnacentral:rRNA from 1 species
GACGAACGCUGGCGGCGUGGAUUAGGCAUGCAAGUCGAACGGUAUCAUCCUUUCGGGGGUGAGAGAGUGGCGAACUGGUGAGUAACACGUAGGUUAUCUACCCUCAAGACGGGGACAACCCAGGGAAACUUGGGCUAAUACCGGAUGUGAGCAACUUUUAGUUGUUUGAAAGGUGGCGUAAGCUGUCGCUUGGGGAUGAGCCUGCGUCCUAUUAGUUAGUUGGUGAGGUAACGGCUCACCUAGGCAAUGAUAGGUAGGCGGCCUUAACGGGUGGUCGCCCACACUGGGAUUGAGAUACGGCCCAGACUCCUACGGGAGGCAGCAGUCGAGAAUAGUCUACAAUGGUCGGAAGACUGAUAGUGCGACGCCGCGUGAACGAGUUUUAACCUUCGGGUGUAAGUCUUUAUAUGUGAGCAGUGCUUCUUAUAUUAACAGUAUGGGAGAGAGAUAUUAGCAUAUGAAUAAGCAACGGCUAACUCCGUGCCAGCAGCCGCGGU